GUGAAUCAUCGAAUCUUUGAACGCACAUUGCACCCUCUGGUAUUCCGGGGGGUAUGCCUGUUCGAGCGUCAUUAACAACCCUCAAGCUCUGCUUGGUAUUGGAUGUCACCCUUGCAUUUGUGGUGCACCUCAAAAUCAGUGGCAGUGCCUUUUGGCCUCAAGCGUAGUAAAAUUUCUCGCUUUGGGGGUUUGGAUGUGCACUUGCUAACAAAACCUAAUUUUUCAAUGGUUGACCUCGGAUCAGGUAGGGAUACCCGCUGAACUUAAGCAUAUCAAUAAGCGGAGGA
rnacentral:misc_RNA from 1 species